rnacentral:rRNA from 1 species
GGGUCAGUAGGUUGGUCGUGCCACCGGUACGUACUGGUCUCACUGGUUCCUCCUUCCUGAAGAACCGUAAUGCCAUUAAUUUGGUGUUGCGGGGAAACAGGACUGUUACUUUGAAAAAAUUAGAGUGUUUAAAGCAAGCUAACGCUUGAAUACAUUAGCAUGGAAUAAUGAAAUAGGACGAUCGAUCCUAUUUUGUUGGUUCCUAGGAUUGACGUA